rnacentral:rRNA from 1 species
UACGUAGGGGGCUAGCGUUGUCCGGAAUCAUUGGGCGUAAAGCGCGUGUAGGCGGUCCGGUAAGUCCGCUGUGAAAGUCGGGGGCUCAACCCUCGAAUGCCGGUGGAUACUGUCGGGCUAGAGUGCGGAAGAGGCGAGUGGAAUUCCUGGUGUAGCGGUGAAAUGCGCAGAUAUCAGGAGGAACACCAAUGGCGAAGGCAGCUCGCUGGGACGGUACUGACGCUGGAGACGCGAAAGCGUGGGGAGCAAACAGG